CUUGAAGAUAGGUUAUCCGUGUUGCCUUCGCUUUAUUUGUGACGAAUCAUACACGGUUGACCUAUUUUUCAGUACCAAAUCCCGCCUUGGAGGGCUUCCUGGAGCGGAGUCUCACUUCAGGGUGGGACCUUGGUGUCAGCUCCUCUCCAGGGUAAGGAAAGGGACCGUUGACCAUAGCCGACCCAGCAGUGUGCCCUGGCCCUAACCCUGUGUGUGCCCCGUCCUUGGGGAGGUUUCUAGAGAUGGUGCCAGCUUUGGGGAAGAAGUGGAGCUUUUCCUGUCAGAGCUACUCUGUGGUACUGGUGGAGAGGUCUUCCAUGAUGCAUUCAAUUUAUUUUUUGACCAAUCCUACAUAGUGGACUCUUUUGAAAGCAUUAAAUCUAGCCUUAAAGCACCCCCGGGUGGUGCCGAGUUUAGGAACUAGAACUGGUGUCUGAAUGCCUGAACGCACAGCGAAGCUGACAGUGUGCACACUCUUCUUGGUGGGUCGUGCACCUGCAGGCGUCCUGCUUGCUCACCAUGGCGGUUUCCUCGAAAGAGGCGGCAGUUCCCUCAUCGGCUCACUGCAUGUUUGACAAGACACCGUCUUGCUGUCUUCCCUGCUGCCCUCUCUUCACGUAUCACAGAUGGUGCUCUGCAGACCUCUCUGCUGUGGCACUUCCCUCCCUGAAUGGCUUCCUGCAAGAGGUGCUAAUUGCAAGUAAGGGAUGGAGGGCGGCCCGGACCGCAGAGCUUACUUCGUGGGUGGUGUGUUGCCACCUUCCUGACUCUCAGUAUCCCGUCCGUCCUCAGGCCUGCUGCUGGGACGCGCUGGAAGCGAGCACCCAAGUCAGGUACUCGAAUGGAGGUUGUCCAUGGUGUGUUCAUUUUAUUUAUGAUGAGUAUUACAUGGCCAAUCUCCUUUCGGUACUCAAUUCUUCUUGGGAAACGUCAUGAGGGGAAAGCCCAGCCGGCACCUGCGCAGGGUAAGGAAGUGGAUCACCUCCGCAUGACAGGUGCUCUCUGUGUGACUUACAUCACUUGGCCCAUGUCCCGGCCAUCAUUAGGAGGAAUUCCCCGAAAUGAUGCUGAUGUUUUAGUUGACCUGGUGGUCUUCUAGUCGCAUCCUUGAAGACUCGUUAGUGAAUAAACCACACUUAGUCAACCUCUUUAGGUGUGAAAUCAUCUUGGCUGUGUGGCACACUUUAGGGAAAGGAACUCCCGGCUGAAUGGAAGACAUCCACAUUACCCCCUCAAAUACCUUAUCUUCUGGGUGACCUCUGGGAAGCAAGGGGUGAAGGGGGUUUCCUCGGCAGUGAGAAUUAAUGUUGUUUAAAGACACGUUUCCAUGGCACGACUCAGUUAUUCCGACUGCAAGACGAGAAUUGUUAAUAGCAUUUAUUACUACCUUAUGUUGCCAGCUGUGUGCCCUUGGAAAAUCCCUUCACCUAUCAGCUCUCUGGGCCUCAGUCUCUUCCUCUGUAAAGCAGGGUUAACGGGGGAGUGGAAACGUGCUCUUUGUGAAGUGUCUAGACAGCGUCUGGCACAUGGCUGUAGGAUAAGCAUUGUUUCUGAGGAUGGUCAUUAUAUGAAUGUUGUGUCAUCUGCACUCAUUGUCCUCUCGCCACUAGAAUGGAAGCUCCCUGAGGGCAGAGUCCUUGUCUGUUUUGCCUGGCUCUGUGUCGCCAGAUGUGCACAGUAGGUGUGAUGCUGAAUGAAUGAAUAGGCAGCGUGACCUGUUUUCUUGGUUGAACUCUCUUUGAGGCCUCCUGGAAGGGAGUGCAUGGAGUACAGUCACCGGAGCCUGUGCUGUCCCUGUGACGCAGCCCCACCCACCCUCUGAGGAUGCUGCGCUGGACGAGGAGUCGCCAGCCUUCAGGUCGGGUCCUCCCUCAAACCCCUGUAGGCUGGACUGACCACGGUCACAUGGUUCAUUGGCAGCCCCCUUCUCUGUGUGAAAUCCUGCUUCAGGGACUUCCAGAGGAGAUACCGGCUCUGGAGCUGGACCUUGGUGUUCCAGCCCCUCUAGGGUAGGUGACCAGGGGCUGACUCUAGCUCGGGCUGACCUGCGAUGUGUGUGUGCAUAGCCUCGCCCACACUGCCUGCUCCAGGGCUACAGAAGCUGGUCCAUGACCAACCGUGUUCUGACCACUGCCUGGGGGGCUCCUCGGAGGUAGAGGGAGAGAGAGAGAGAGCAAGAGGGGAGAGAGCGAGCCAGCAAGCCAGCGAGCCCGCAGCUGGAGUCAGCAGGGAGGUCCCGCAGGCAAUGCCGCCUUUGGUGAAGAGGCAUCUCGGUGUGUUCUUGCCCGUGCUGAUGUUUGACCCUUGAGCAGAGGUUGCCCUUGGUGAAUUCGCUUUAUUUAUGUUGAAUCACACAAAGGCAACUUUUGUUUGAGUAUCAAAUCCUGCUUGGGAUGGCUUCCGGGACCCAGUGGCAAGCUCAGGGGCAUCUACACCCCUCCCGUGAGCAAGAAUGGACGGGGUAGACGUGGGUGGUCUGCCCUCUGCGGUCCUCUGCGGUGGAUGAGAACAGAUGUCGCUCAGAGAACACAAGCUUCAUUCAUGAUGGGGGCGGGGCUCGCGGCCCGGGGAGGAUGGCGUUGGUGUCGCGUCGGCUUUAGCUCUUACCCCGGACCAUCUCUCUUUACAUCACCAUUUUGGCUGUGUUGAUCCCAAAGACAUUUUGACUCCACAAUUUUUUUUCGGAAGGUAUUUGACCUCGCGGAUAAACAAAGAGCUCACACUUGACAAUGUCUGUGACGAGUCUGCAGCCCCAGACCCCCGUCUCGCUCACAAGCACUGUGCUUCUUUCUGCACCUUUCCUUGUCUCUAUCUUUCUCUUUCUAUCCCCCAACCAAACAUUGUUCCCAAUUUUCUCCUGGGUUAUGAAACAAAUAGAGGCUAUCAGUAUCUCAUCCCAUUUGUAUUAAAUAAUAGCGAUAAAAAUAAUCAACACAAAAUAAAACUAAAAACAGCUGAAACGGCACAGCGCUAAAUGUGUUCAGUUGACUACAAAUUGGCAGAAGAAUCCAAUUUUCUUGACAACAUUUCAGCUGUGACAUUUGACCUGGGGAAAUAGAAAGCUGCCGACGUGGCAGCCAUGGAAGGAAAUUCACGGUGGCGGCGGUGAUAAACAGUGAUAUUUGAUGUAGACAAAAACACACUGAGGAAUCAAAUCUUCAUGCAGAUUUUUAAAUGGAAAAGAAUUGAUCCUAAUGAAAAUGAUUUGGGGAAAAUAACAAGGGAAAUAAAAGAAAUGAAAACAGCUCAACAGCGCAGUCAGGAAAGCUAAACAGGGAACUGGAUUAGUAUAAUGGCAUUGGCUCUGAAAAACACGUUUUAUGAAAAUCAAUGUUGGUACAAUUCUUGUGAAGAUGGUUACAUUUGUGCAUCUUUACAGUGGAGUUGGUGGGGUCAGUAGGAACCUAGGGUCAAAAAAUGGGAUACAGUCUCCCCCUUUAUGCAGUUGAUCUUUUCUUGCUGCCCCAAACCUUCCCGAGAGCUUCCCGGAAAGGCGUGCUGACUUCAGGCGUGACACACUGGUAAGGCGUCCUCCCGGGGACCUGGGUGCAUGUUAUCCCCAGAGCAUUCACUACGUAAGUGACAGGCAUCACCUGGUCUCCCUCCAUCCCCACGGAGGGUUCUGGGUGAGAUGCUGACUCCGGAGGGAAGCAGAAGUUCUACGGUCGGUGGGGUCUGGUCUUUCAGGACAGUUGCUUCUGUGAACUCAGAAAAUCUGAGACAGCUCUUAGUUAAUUUAGAAAGUUUAUUUUGCCAAGGUUGAGGAUACACCCGUAACACAGCUUCAGGAAGUUCUGCGGUCAAGGCACAGCUUGGCUUUAUACAUUUUAGGGAGACAUGAGACAUCAUUCAGUACAUGUAAGAAGUACAUUGGUUUUGUGUGCAAAGGUGGGACAACUUGAAGCGAAGGCAGGAAGGAGGGAGCUUCCAGGUCACAGACAGGUGAUACACAAAUGAUUACAUUCUUUCGCGUUUCUCAUGAGCCUUUCCAAAGGAGGCAAAUCGGAUACGCAUCUAUCUCAGUGAGCAGAGGGAUGACUUUGAAUGGAAUGAGAGGCAGGUUUAUCCUGAGCAGCUUCCAGCUUGAGUUUUCCUUAGUGAUUUUAGGGGCCCAAGAUAACUUUCCUUUCACACUUCCAAGGCUGUUGCUGAACACACAGGAAUCCAGGAACAUUCUGGGGUUCAGUCCUUCCUCAGACUCUGCUGUUGAUACCUUACAUGGUUCCAUGCUGGCCCCAAGGACAUGCCCUUCGUUGGUGCCGAAUGUCAUUUGGUCAUGGAGGCUGAAAGUCAUUCUGGAGUUGAUGUUUCCAAGGUCAAAAACCUUGCUGGGGCUGUGGAAAGCACUCGUUGUUUGCUGGCCUGCUUUGUUGGUGACCAGCAUUGCACAUGGCUUUCUUUUCAGAUCAAACCCUACCUGGAGAAUUUCCAGAAGUAACAGCACCCUCAGGAGGCGGCCUGCAGCCAGAGCCCUCUCCAGGGCAGGUGCCUGAGGGCCACCCAUGGGACAGGCCCGAUUGUACCCAUGGUGCAUGUCAUCUGUUCCACUCCUGCUGACUCCGGUGCGUUCCGGGACCACCUUGGGAGGUGAUGCCUGCCCCGGGAAGGAGGCUCUGAUGCAGGUCAGUGCCCAUGGCUCCUGAAGGGAAGUUGUCUGUGACAUCUUUUCUUUCUUUACAGCAGGCCUCGCAUGGCUGGCCUCUUGCUCCACUUGUAGCAAGGCGCAGAGGGCUCUCUGAGCUCAUGCCAACGUCAGGGAAAGGAUUCUGCUGUCGGUCCCACUCCAAAGUUCACAGAAUGGGUGGUGGCACAGAAUCCGGACUCUGCUUGUGGCAUCCGUCGUCUGGCCCAAUGCUUGCUGGCUGCCCGCUCCAGGAGGCACCUUCUGGGUGUUCUCUGAGUCUGGGGAAGGUUGGGUUCUGAGGUCAGGGCUGCCCUGACCCUUGUGAAGAGAAGACAUCUGUGACUCACCUGCUUUCUUCUGCUGCAUUUAUCCCCCCAGUCCCUUAUUUUGAAUGUCUCACUUGCUUUAUGAGGCUAAUCAGAUGGUCAGCCAGCUGUUGAUAACUGUGAAGUUACCCUUUGAGGAUCCUGGGGUGAUGCCUCUGUGGGCUGGAGAUGGUGCUGGUGAGACCGCAGGUCUGGGGUCAGCGUUGUGCCCCGUUGAGCUCCUGCCAAAGGCAUCCUCUGCUGGGAGGGAGGCUCUGUGCUUGUGCAGGGGUCCCUACAGGGUCACCCCCUCUCAGGGUCUGGGAAUGAAAAGCGGGUGCGAGCAGGGUUUCAUUUUCAUCUUUAGCAAGGUGCCCAAGGAAGGUUGCCGUCUUUUCAGCAUAAGAUCCUACCUGGGUCUUGCACUCAACUUCUGGGAAGAGUCUCUAGAUUCAUUCUGGAAGGGGUUGGAAUCGUUGGACUUGGUGAUUGGGAACGUCCUUGGAGAGUGUGAGGCUCUGGGCUCUGAAUGCCCAGACCUUGUGCUGCCCUUGGGGGAAGGUCUUCUGCAAGCACAGCCGCCUGCAAGCAUCCACCUUAGUCCGAGCAUCUGAGCCUCUCCAUGGUACUCGGGGAGAGGUUACCCGAGCAACUUUGCAUCUGGACGACGAAUGUUGCUCGGUGAACCCCUUUUCGGUAUCAAAUUCCACCAGGGAGGCCGUCUUGGAGGCUGGGGCACCUCGGGGAAGGACGCCGGCAUCAGCACCAUUCUGGGUACGGGGAUGGAUGGUCGACCAGUUGGAAAGUAAUUGUUUCUAAUGUACUUCACCUGGUCCACUAGCCGUCCGUAUCCGCUGCAGCCUGUGGGGCCUGCGGGCCGGGGAGCUGAUCGCGCUUCAGCUCAGCGCCUUUCCUGGUACUUGAAGGGAGAUCGACCGUGUUAUAUUCGCUUUAUUGACUUCGAAUAAUACAUGGUUGAUCUUUUCUCAGUAUCAAAUCUCACCUUGGAGGACCCGUUGGAGAUGAAGCCCUUUUGAGGGUGGGAGCAGGACGGGUGCUUUGGAGUCGCUGCCUCAGUGGGGCCUGGUCACUGAGGGUGGGCCGGGCAGGGGUCUCUUUCCUGUCUCUGUGUCUUCUCACCUUUGGUCCCAUCCGUCCUCAGGACUGCUUCCCGGGGGCAACGCUGGCACCACGGGAUGCAGCAGCCACGUUCUUGAGCCGAUGGCACUCUGGGUACCUGAGAAGAGGUUGUCUGUGAUGAGUUCGCUUUUAUUAAUGACGAAUAUAACACAGAUGGCCUGUUUUCAGUACCGCUACCGCCCGGUGGUGUGCGGGUGCCAUGCCUGAGGCGGGACUUUCCAGGGUACGUGAAUGCAUGGGUUGGUGUGACAUUUGUCAUCCUUUCCCCUGACCCCCGCCAUCGAAUCAUUUUGGGAGAGCUUUCGGGGGGCCAUGUGGACUUUGGGGAAGAUGCUACGGUUGUGCACUGUGGUGGGGGGCAGUCAUGAAGCUGAUGAACAAUGGUGACGGGGCUCAGUCUGUUUUUCAUGGCCAGUGUCAUCGAGGUAGAGGACACGGGGGAGCUAGUCCCGCUGGAAGGCAUCCUGCUGGAAGGCCACCCGCCCCUCGCCAGGAUGUUGGGGGCGGCUGCAUGCAUUCCCUGUGCCCGGGCUGCCUUCUGCUCAUCCCAGUGCUGUGAGACCCUGGGUUGGAGCUGGUGCCUUGGGUGGCCGUGUGCGUGUGCUGCUCCUUGUGGUGCCUGAGGAGAGGUGGCCUGUGUUGCAUUCGCAGAAAUCAUGACACACAAGACACGAGUGGCCUCUCUUCAGUAUCAGAUCCCACCUGCAUGAUUCCUGCACCUGCUGAUGUCGGGAAGGUCCGGUUGCACGCCCUGUGGGCCCCCAGAGGCAUGGCUGGUGGCCGAGCAGGCGCUUGACUUCCACCUGCAGCCCUGUGCUGGCCUCCAUCCUGGAGGCGGGUGGCGGGUGGCAGGGCCCGUCCCUGAGGAAGAAGCCUCCUCCCUGGAGUCAGUGCUGCUCAAUGGUACCUGAAAUAGGUUGCCUGUGAGGUGUUCACUUUCUAUAUGAUGAAUAUUAUACAGUCAACCUCUUUCCGAUAUCGAAUCCCACCUUGGAUGCCUUCCUCUUUGCUGUCAACUCCAGGCAGCAGCUGGCUCUGCACUGGUUGACCCUCUGGACUUUGUGUAGGACCUGUGUCACUUGGCCUGUUAAUUUUCCAGCUCCACUCUGUUCUGGGGGCCUUUGGAAGUGUGACGGAAUGGCAUCCCCAAUUCCAGUGUCAGCGGGAGCACCCGCCAUGCCCUUGCUUCCGGUUGGCACAUCCCCCAGGCUGGGCUGGCUCUCAGCUACCUGAUGCUUAUGUCAUAUUUGCACCCCUGGCCUGCCCAGACUACAGGAAGAUGACCAGAGGCCUGUUUGCAGCUGACCUGGAGACUUAGUGACUCCAGAACAUGCUGCCCAUGCCCAGGGUCCAGGGCUGAAGGCAAGGAGCACCUCAGGAGUGACCCCAAAGAAUGAGCUAAGGCUGUCCUUUAUCACUCAUUGUUGAUCAGUGAGCUCCUGGGCUCGGGAGAUCUUCCUGAGCUGGGCUCCCGUCAUCCCCUGGUUGAGACGUCACUGCCUUGGAAGUCACAGCCUGUGCCUGCCCUCCCCCUUGUCCUUCUCCUCGGGACCGCUCCUCUCCAUGCCUAGCAUGGGAGUGGGGAUCCCUGGCACCAUCCCUCUGGGCUGCCUGCUCCCACUCUCCCUCAGCACCCCUCUUCCCCAGCCCCUGGGCCACAGCCCUGCUGGAGAGGCCGCCCCACAGGCUAGGUCCCUCCAGCCUGUGGCACUUGGGUCUCCCGCCAGUGCCCCCUCCCUCUGCCAGGGAGAGCAUUUCCAAGUGCAGAGUCCAACUGUUUAACUCCACUGCCCAAGGCACCUCUGCAGGCCCCUUCCCUCGGGCUUGGUGCCAAAAUGAUCCGAGGACUCCCCAGGCCCUCAGAGUGGCAGCCCCCCUCUUCUUUUGGAGCCACAGCCUAUCCCCCACGUGUUUUCAUCCUUCAUUCUGGCCUUGCACGCGCCCCUCCUUCCGGAGCUGGGUCCUGGGCUGCCCUGCUCUGCCCUCGGCUGCCUCCUGUCCAGGCUCUGGCCCUUCCUUCCUUAAAGGCCCACAUCCUUUGCAUUUUCCUUUCCCAGGGGUUCACAAUUCCCAAGGGGAUGGAAUGUCUCUUGUUCGGCAAGGUCAUCCCUGAUAACCCUAUAAAAGCAGCUCCCCUUGCCUCUUCCCCAUCACAUUCUACCAGUUGCCCCGUUACUGUUUUCUUCCUAGCUUACAGUUCUCUGAAACUGCCUAAUGUUAAUAUCUACCUUCUUUGUGCCCUAGACUGUGAGAUUUCUCAUUGGCAGAAAUUUCUCUCUCUCUCUCUCUCCUCUCUCUCAUCCCCUGCUGUGUUCAGUAGCAGAACAGUGAGUGUUUGUUGAUUGACUAAUGGAGUCCCCAAAGGCAGGGACCGGAUCAGAUGAAUUCCCAGGCAGGUGCUGGGCACAAAGUAGGCAGUCAAUAAGAUGUGGUGAUGGAGUACAUGAAUAUGUUAAUCGAUCUUUAGAAAUUCUUCCCAUUUGUUCAAAGCUGUUUGGUUUUCCAGCUUUUUCUGCCCUUCCAGGAUGAGGCUGAGAUUUGCUGCAGGAGGCACGAGUCAGCUGGGUCUGGGUUCUCUCUUCCACUUUUCAGGGGGUGGGGGCACCAAAGCCCCAGAGGAAGUGACAGGCCCUGUGUUCCCCUGCAGAUGCCGACUGAUCGCGCCCCCGCCCCUCCAGCAAACACCCCAGCGCUGAGAGCCAGAUGCUCUGGGGAACUCCAUCUGCAACGGGCUGGAGCGUGGUGUUAGGGCUCAUAUUUUAUGCAUGGGGCUGACUAAAUGGGAACAUUUGGAGAUGAAAAUUGCUGUUAAUGCAUCUACACAUCUUUGGAAUAUAUUAAAUGUGCGUGUGAGGGGAAGAGUGACAUUAGCCUUAUUUAAUAGCUUCAAGAUAACCAUCCCCGCACACCACGGUGUUAACAGGCACGGCCCCCCCCCCGAGUCUCCCAGGCCACCACUCGGGAAGACUGCUGGGUGCAUCACGCGCCACUUGAGAAUUAGGGGUGAGUCCAGCGUCAGCCCGGCAUGCAGCAGCGUGCAUGUUCCCCGCCGAUUUCUAACCCAAACACAGUGACCCUGUGCCACUCGAUGCAGAAUUUCAUUAAAAGCAAAAAUGAUUGAUUUAUCUAUUGUUUGCGGAGAAGAAAAAAUAAACAAAGGGCCUUUCUCAUCAGAUAAGCCAAAUGAGAACGUGUGCCCCCCAGGUGGCCGGGAUGAAAGUCUCCAUGGACCCUUCAACCAGAGGCUCCGUGGCUUGUCCCGUCUCCAGGGCGGUGUGUAAACCCUGCCGCCGGUCCAAGUCCACGAGGUGUGCUCCCUUCUCCAGUGCAAGGGCCCGGUUUAUCCCCACUAUGUCUCCUGGACGUGGUUGGGAAAUUGAACAACCUGGACCUCCGUUCCCAUUUCCUUGUUGUUUUCAGCGGGAGAUAAGAGGAGAAGUAAUAGCUGUCCUGUUGGGGCGCUUGCCUUGGUCCUGGGCCCCAUCAGCUGCUGUGAGGAGACAGUUUCUUUUCCACAGUUGAGGAAAUGGAGCACAGAGAGGUUGAGUGACUCAACCAAGGUCACCCAGCUGGAGGUGGGGCAGGGUCUGGCUCCAGGCCGUGUGCUCUUACUCACCCUGCUUGCAAGGGCUUUAGGAAUAGCCCCUGUGUCCUGGAAGACAGAUCGCUCACCGAGUGGGCCUCUUUUCUUGGUAUUAUAUGAUGAGGUAGGCUCACUUUCCCCCAGACUUAGCUUGCCAGAAUAUUCAUGGUUUUUUCUCUGUACUCACCUGUCGUCUCUCCAACAUGGUGCCAUCACCCAUGAAGUGGGAUGCUUUGGUGCGUGUCUGGCCUGGGGAGAGGGCUGCUUGCUUUGUCAGAAGACUCAAAGCAUGAUGGGCAUCCAAAUACCAAAGACCUAUGUUGACCUGUGUUUUUCACGCCGCUUGAUGGCCGUUGAGGGCUAUAUUCACUGCCUCGGUUGCAUGGAGUGAACAAGACCUAGUGAAGAUGGCGGGUGCGCUGAGACCAUCUGGUUGAUCUCUCCUGGGUGGGACCAGGUGCUCCCCUCACCACCCCCACCCUUGUCUGUGUACCACCACUCUGCACAGACACAUUGGCUGGUGCAGUCCUGGAGACCUACGGAGCUCACGGUCGUCAGGGGUCCUCAAGGAUUCAGAGAACCCCCAAAUGUCAGGGCUGCUCCCUUCUUGUCCUGCCUCUCUGCUCACACCCUUGGACAGGUAAGAAAACUGAGGUCCACAGAGGGGAGGGUGCCUUGCUGUGGCUUUUGUUCUGAGCACUGUCUCCCCAACUUUGGGGUUGAGACUCUGGGGUCAAGACCCACCUCUGAUGAACGAGCGGCUUCCUUCUUUGUAAAAAUUGAGGCGACCCAGACCAAGGAGGGCUGCAAAAUCACCAAGCCAGGACCUCAAUACCCAAGGGGCUGGGGUUUUGGCCACCCUGUGGCAGAGCUUUUAGAAGCCAGGGCCCUUGGCUCGGCAGUGCUGGCUCAUAGUAGGUGCUUAGUUCAUGCCUGUCUCCUUGGAUGAAAUCUGACCAUAGACACCAGUGCAAAGCAGGUGUUCAACACAGGAGGGUGUACUGAACCCGAUCUCUAUCACCAGGAGGAAGCACACAGGAGGCGCUCAGAGAACGUUUGUGGAAUGAAUAAAUAAAAGCAUAUUUUGAGGGAAUAAAGAAGCAGAAAAACAAAGAAGAAUCUGGGGAAGAUGGGCAUAAAUCUCCACCAAGUGCUGCCAAGGCUUCCCAGGCGAGGCUGCUGAAAAGACCCUGUGGAGCGGCUGCUCUGCCUGGGAUAAACACAUUUCAAGAGUCUCAGUCCCCGCUUUGCCACCAUCUCCUCCUCUGAUCUCCUUUCCUGCUUCAAAAGACUCCAGAAUCUUCUCGGUUCUCAGAGAAGGCUGAAUCCACCUAUGACCUGGUGGGUGAAUCCUGUGCCGAAACUGUUUACCUUCUGGUCCCCGGAGCCAUGGGUCACGACCUGGGCCUCAUGUGGGCCCGCUCCUCAGCAGACCCCAAUCUGCGGCUUCUCCCACCUCACUGGGGAAGAAGGAGAGCCCUGGGGAUGUGGAGAAGCCCCCCCCCCGCUCCGCCACAUCCCCCACAUCUUACAGAAUCUCGAUUGAAUCCGCGGGGGCACAUCCCUCAGCAGGACAGCAACAGUCUUUGCGGCGGCAUGGGGAGGGCUGUGCUGGGGAUGAGCGCCCAGUGGCCGUGGACUAAGUGAAGGAAAUGACCGUGCUCUUCUCCCAGCUGGAUGGCGAGGCCGGGCAGGAACCGCGGAAUUCCUGCUCUUCGUUUUCAAACACUUUGCUGUCAAGCUAUUUGAAUAAUAAAUACACAUUAUAAAAAUGUAAA